rnacentral:rRNA from 1 species
UACGUAGGGUGCAAGCGUUGUCCGGAAUUAUUGGGCGUAAAGAGCUCGUAGGUGGCCUGUCGCGUCGGCUGUGAAAACUCGGGGCUCAACUCCGAGCUUGCAGUCGAUACGGGCAGGCUAGAGUUCGGCAGGGGAGACUGGAAUUCCUGGUGUAGCGGUGAAAUGCGCAGAUAUCAAGUGGAACACCAGUGGCGAAGGCGAGUCUCUGGACAUUUCCUGACGCUGAGGCACGAAAGCCAGGGGAGCAAACGGG